rnacentral:rRNA from 1 species
AGAGUUUGAUCCUGGCUCAGGACGAACGCUGGCGGCGCGCCUAACACAUGCAAGUCGAACGAGAGAGAGGGAGCUUGCUUCCUCAAUCGAGUGGCGAACGGGUGAGUAACGCGUGAGGAACCUGCCUCAAAGAGGGGGACAACAGUUGGAAACGACUGCUAAUACCGCAUAAGCCCACGGCUCGGCAUCGAGCAGAGGGAAAAGGAGCAAUCCGCUUUGAGAUGGCCUCGCGUCCGAUUAGCUAGUUGGUGAGGUAAUGGCCCACCAAGGCGACGAUCGGUAGCCGGACUGAGAGGUUGAACGGCCACAUUGGGACUGAGACACGGCCCAGACUCCUACGGGAGGCAGCAGUGGGGAAUAUUGCACAAUGGGGGAAACCCUGAUGCAGCGACGCCGCGUGGAGGAAGAAGGUCUUCGGAUUGUAAACUCCUGUUGUUGAGGAAGAUAAUGACGGUACUCAACAAGGAAGUGACGGCUAACUACGUGCCAGCAGCCGCGGUAAAACGUAGGUCACAAGCGUUGUCCGGAAUUACUGGGUGUAAAGGGAGCGCAGGCGGGCGAUCAAGUUGGAAGUGAAAUCCAUGGGCUCAACCCAUGAACUGCUUUCAAAACUGAUUGUCUUGAGUAGUGCAGAGGUAGGCGGAAUUCCCGGCGUAGCGGUGGAAUGCGUAGAUAUCGGGAGGAACACCAGUGGCGAAGGCGGCCUACUGGGCACCAACUGACGCUGAGGCUCGAAAGUGUGGGUAGCAAACAGGAUUAGAUACCCUGGUAGUCCACACCGUAAACGAUGAUUACUAGGUGUUGGAGGAUUGACCCUUUCAGUGCCGCAGUUAACACAAUAAGUAAUCCACCUGGGGAGUACGACCGCAAGGUUGAAACCCAAAGGAAUUGACGGGGGCCCGCACAAGCAGCGGAGCAUGUGGUUUAAUUCGAAGCAACGCGAAGAACCUUACCUAGACUUGACAUCUCCUGCAUUACCCUUAAUCGGGGAAGUUCCUUCGGGGACAGGAAGACAGGUGGUGCAUGGUUGUCGUCAGCUCGUGUCGUGAGAUGUUGGGUUAAGUCCCGCAACGAGCGCAACCCUUAUUGUUAGUUGCUACCAUUUAGUUGAGCACUCUAGCGAGACUGCCCGGGUUAACCGGGAGGAAGGUGGGGAUGACGUCAAAUCAUCAUGCCCCUUAUGUCUAGGGCUACACACGUGCUACAAUGGCAAGUACAAAGAGACGCAAUACCGCGAGGUGGAGCAAAACUCAAAAACUUGUCUCAGUUCGGAUUGUAGGCUGAAACUCGCCUACAUGAAGCUGGAGUUGCUAGUAAUCGCGAAUCAGCAUGUCGCGGUGAAUACGUUCCCGGGCCUUGUACACACCGCCCGUCACACCAUGAGAGUUGGCAAUACCCAAAGUGUGUGAUCUAACUCGUAAGAGAGGAAGCGCCCUAAGGUAGGGUCAGCGAUUGGGGUGAAGUCGUAACAAGGU